rnacentral:lncRNA from 1 species
GUCAACUACAAAACCAUCCAAGUUAUCAAGAUGGUUAAUCCCAACUUUUGGACCAGCUGAAGAGCUAGGCCAACACCUGACAGACUGAUCCUUGCUCUUUUCUAACUUCUUUUGAAUUUUGGGACAAAUUUCAUCUUUAAAUCUCAUCAUCUUAUUCCUCUUAUUCAUGAUCCUAUUUAUUAUUUUGCUUCUUAUAACCUCA